CAGGGCCUAUGAUGGAAUAUUGGAAUAUGCCUACAUUGUCUGAUCAUUUUAACUUGAUUGAGCAAAUGUUGACUGAGGCCUUG
rfam:Solanum lycopersicum cultivar Heinz 1706 chromosome 9, whole genome shotgun sequence.